UAAACUAGUUAAGAUGAUGAAGCAUUAGGCCAAAUUUUUAUAGAAUUGAAUCGUAUCAAUCUUGGUUCUUUUUCUUUCAGCUCUCAAUUAUUUUGAUAACGUUACGCAUUUUAGGCAAGUUAAUUUGAAUUGACAGCAUUAAAGAAAUAAAAUGAACAACCAGGAAAUUGAAAUGAUUAUUCUGGAACAAUACAAAAAAUACAAAGCAUGCAUAAUUCGAUGAAAGAUGGUAAAUGAUAUUUAGUCUUGCUUUUAAA